rnacentral:rRNA from 1 species
GACGAACGCUGGCGGCGUGCUUAACACAUGCAAGUCGAACGGAAAGGCCCUGCUUUUGUGGGGUGCUCGAGUGGCGAACGGGUGAGUAACACGUGAGUAACCUGCCUUUGACUUUGGGAUAACUUCAGGAAACUGGGGCUAAUACCGGAUAGGAGCUCCUGCUGCAUGGUGGGGGUUGGAAAGUUUCGGCGGUUGGGGAUGGACUCGCGGCUUAUCAGCUUGUUGGUGGGGUAGUGGCUUACCAAGGCUUUGACGGGUAGCCGGCCUGAGAGGGUGACCGGCCACAUUGGGACUGAGAUACGGCACAGACUCCUACGGGAGGCAGCAGUGGGGAAUAUUGCACAAUGGGCGGAAGCCUGAUGCAGCAACGCCGCGUGCGGGAUGACGGCCUUCGGGUUGUAAACCGCUUUCGCCUGUGACGAAGCGUGAGUGACGGUAAUGGGUAAAGAAGCACCGGCUAACUACGUG